CUUGUUUGGAACACAUGGAGUGGAGGAUGGAUAAUUUCCCAAAGGAAGAGACAGCAGUCAAAUAAAAACAACAGGUGACGAGCAUUACAUCAAGUCUUUGGGUUUAAAACAUUUUUUGGAUGAGAGGAGGCUGGAUGUUCCUGGCUCCUGGGGCAUGGGACUGUGUCAUUCCCUUCAAUUGACAACUGUGAAAAGAAGGCCAUUCGAACCCAUUCUGGCGUUGCUGGGCUCUUCACCGUGAAGUCCUCAGCUAUGUCUCUUUCUCUUCGCACUGCGGCCACAGCGUCAGCAAUGGCAAAGAACACAGAUGACCCCAGGAACAUCCCAGACUCCCCGAGGCCCUGUAAGAAGGCACAUUGGUGUAAGAAACUUCCAUACUACACUACAAGUUUCUAGAGGGUAGGGGCCAGGUCUCGUUCACCAUUGUGUCCCCAACCCCUGCACAGUGUUUUGUACACAAAAUCUUCUCAAUAAAUGUUUGUUGGCUGACUUACUGACUGAAUCAGAAGCUUGAGUAGUCUUAAAAAUCCCAGCAUAGGCUGGGCUUGGUGGCUCACGCCUGUAAUCCUAGCACUUUGGGAGGCCGAGGCGGAUGGAUCAUGAGGUCAAGAGAUCAAGACCAUCCUGCCCAACAUGGUGAAACCCCGUCUCUACUAAAAAUACAAAAAUUAGCUGGGCGUGGUGGUGCGCGUCUGUAGUCCUAGCUAUUUGGGAGACUGAGGCAGAAGAAUUGCUUGAACCCGGGAGUUGGAGGUUGCAGUGAGCCAAGAUAAUGCCAUUGCACUCCAGUUGGGUGACAGAGCAAGAUUACAUCUCAAAAAAAAAAAAAGCAAAGACAAAGAAAAAAAGUCCCAGCAUAAUCUGAAUUUCCCAGAUCUUGAAUCCCGUCUGGGUUAAAUUUUGUUCCCUAGGAAAGGUAUGUAUGUGUGUAUGUGUGUGUGUAUGAGUGUCUUUGCGUGGUAAUGGGAAAGUACCCUAUUUAGUAAAACACAUUCAAUGGAUUGAACUAGCCAGUUUUAUCAGCAGAGAGAAAAAUGCCUUUUUUAACUUCAGGGUCAGGAUAGGCAGGGUACUCUAGAAGAAAGAGUACAGACUUUGAUACCAGAUGAAAGGUUGUAAACCCAU
rnacentral:lncRNA from 1 species